rnacentral:rRNA from 1 species
UACGAAGGGUGCAAGCGUUAAUCGGAAUUACUGGGCGUAAAGCGUGCGUAGGUGGUUUUUUAAGUCUGCUGUGAAAGCCCUGGGCUCAACCUGGGAAUGGCGGUGGAUACUGAAAAGCUAGAGUGCGGUAGAGGAGGGUGGAAUUCCCGGUGUAGCGGUGAAAUGCGUAGAUAUCGGAAGGAACAUCAGUGGCGAAAGCGACUUCCUGGACCAAUACUGACGCUCAUGUGCGAAAGCGUGGGGAGCAAACAGG